rnacentral:rRNA from 1 species
GACGAACGCUGGCGGCGUGCUUAACACAUGCAAGUCGAACGGAAAGGCCCCUUUGGGGUACUCGAGUGGCGAACGGGUGAGUAACACGUGAGUAACCUGCCCUUGACUUCGGGAUAACUUCAGGAAACUGGGGCUAAUACCGGAUAGGAAUCCUUGCUGCAUGGUGGGGGUUGGAAAGCUUCGGCGGUUUUGGAUGGACUCGCGGCUUAUCAGCUUGUUGGUGGGGUAGUGGCUUACCAAGGCUUUGACGGGUAGCCGGCCUGAGAGGGCGACCGGCCACAUUGGGACUGAGAUACGGCCCAGACUCCUACGGGAGGCAGCAGUGGGGAAUAUUGCACAAUGGGCGGAAGCCUGAUGCAGCAACGCCGCGUGCGGGAUGACGGCCUUCGGGUUGUAAACCGCUUUCAGCAGGGGCGAAGCUUGUGGUGACGUUACCUGCAGAAGAAGCACCGGCUAACUCCGUG